AGACUGGGGGGAUUUAAAAACAGAGGGCUUAGUUAUGUUGCCACGGGAUUUUAGCCAGCUUGAUUACUUCUGAACAAUGAUGUAAUGGUGGCAUACUGGGCAAAAAGAAAUGUUUUUGUUGUAUUUUUUUUUUCUGUGCAUCUUAUGUCUCAUACUCUUGUUUUCAAACUGAGAAGUUUCAAAAUAUUAUCUUACAAACAGAAUUACUCAUUUGGAUCUAAGAAAUCACCUUUUCUGUGGCAUAUAGACAACACUGCAGACCAGCCUAACAUGAUCCAGGACAAAGGGCAGUUUCAUAAAGAGUUCAAGAAAAAUUUGGAGCCAUAAUUCUAAGGACAGCAGCUGUCCCAUACAGGUAUGUCUCAGGUGUGCUGUGCCACACAUAUUUGUGCAAUGCAUUCUAUUUAUCUCAUUUGUGUUGAUGUGAUUUUAGGCUUGAAGCUAUCCUCAUCUUGAGUACGUGGCUUGAUGAUCUUCUUCUGGCAGGAGGCAGUAGGAGUUUUUGGGAAAAACAAAUUGAAUGGGCAAGUUUAAAACACAUUUUAAAACACCCCUAAUUUUCCUUUAUUAUUGUUUGUUUUGUGGUACCUAUUUCUGUUUGUUUUUGUUUUUUUUUCAAAAUUCAUUAUUUUUCAGAUAAGUGCAGUCUCUGGAUAUAGUAGGAAAAAGCCUCAGUCUCAUUCCUGGUCUAGCAGAACUCCCCGAUUUUUUCACUGAAAAAUGUUUAAUGUCACUGCUUCUCCCAGUCCAGCAUCACUGAGUUAAUCUGCUAAGUCAUUUGGGAACAAAGGAAAAAAAGGUGAAAGCAUGAAAUUUUAAACUAUUAAGUGAGGCUUUAACUGUAUCCUUUAUUACCCCUUUAGCUGUAGGAAAAAAAAAAAAAAAAAAAAAAAAAAAACUACCUCUAGAGAGAAUAGUGGAAUAGUGUGCUUUAACACACUGAAACACUGUGUUAAAGAUGGUAAUAAAUGGUUUUUGGAACAGAAAAGCA
rnacentral:lncRNA from 1 species